GGGCCAAUGAUGACGAGGUUUCGGGAUUAUAAGUCACGGACGAUGACUACGUCACUAGAGGUCUGAGGUCCAUAGCAGAAGAUGCCUCAUGUGACCCUCUCAUGCAGGGGUUGCAUGUCAGGCAUGUGCAUACAGUAGAUAUUAGCCAUGCACUCUCACCAUUUCAUAGUAGAUCACAGAAUCAAGAUACAAAUCUCCAUGCACGGAAAGGAUUUAAGGCAUUGAUCAAUCCUGAACAUAAAUAUUUGGCCAUCAAUGAUAUUUACGCACACACUGAAAAAUCUAUUCAGAAUGACUUACACAAAGGUUUAUAUAACCUUUAUCAAAGGUAAUUUAUAUAGUAAGAUUCAUGGCUGAAGUCUUCAUGAUGGUCAAGGCCUUAAUUUUUAAAAUUAUCAAUUUUUUUCUUUUCUUUUUUUUUAACUUGAAUUUUUUUUUAAUGAAAACUAUCAUGACAAUUUGUCUCUUAAAUGAAAGGAGAAAUGUAAAACUAAAUGGACAAAUAUCAACCUUUUUAUUAUCUUUGCUGUUGUGCCCUCCCUGGAUGGGUGCUGGCACAUGAUGUCUUGCCUGCUGGUCCGUGGUUGCACUCUCACCAUGUGGAUGGAGCUCGGCAGCUGAAAAUGCAUUCUUCCACCAAGAUGAUUUACACAGCCUAGCUGGAUCAGGAGCCCCCUAAUAAGCUGCUUCAGAUUGUAAUAUAGACACAGUAAUGUAUGCCUGCAGGAUGAGUCCCACCUUCUUCAUUAGUCUUGAGGUUUGAGAUUCCCUGUUUGUGUCUGCAGGAUUCAGAUAAAUGGAUAUCCUGCAAGUCGGCUUCGUAGAGUCUCCCUUGAAAGUGGACCUCAUGAUCUAGCCUUUAUGUCCGUGGAUUGACACUGUGAUGGAUUCCCCCCAAGUUCAUUUAGAUAUUCUCUCUUAUUCAUAAAUGUCACGGUCAGCUCUGUUCUUAUAGAUACCAGAAUGGAUACCCCUAAGCUGAUGUAUAUACACCCUUCCUCGGUUGUGAGAUUCCUGCUCUGGUGGUUGUAGUCAUAAGAUAUACAUCGUUGCGUACACCUUGGUUGUGGGCACGCACACUACUGUUGAAUUACCACCUUGUCCAAGUGGAUGGAUGCCCUCAAUGGGAUUGGCACUUUCUCCAUUGCUCCUGCACUCUG
rnacentral:lncRNA from 1 species